GACGAACGCUGGCGGCGUGCUUAACACAUGCAAGUCGAACGGUAAGGCCCUUCGGGGUACACGAGUGGCGAACGGGUGAGUAACACGUGGGUGAUCUGCCCUGCACUUCGGGAUAAGCCUGGGAAACUGGGUCUAAUACCGGAUAGGACCACUGCCUGCAUGGGGGGUGGUGGAAAGCCUUUGCGGUGUGGGAUGGGCCCGCGGCCUAUCAGCUUGUUGGUGGGGUGAUGGCCUACCAAGGCGACGACGGGUAGCCGGCCUGAGAGGGUGACCGGCCACACUGGGACUGAGAUACGGCCCAGACUCCUACGGGAGGCAGCAGUGGGGAACAUUGCACAAUGGGCGCAAGCCUGAUGCAGCGACGCCGCGUGAGGGAUGACGGCCUUCGGGUUGUAAACCUCUUUCAGCACCGACGAAGCGCAAGUGACGGUAGGUGCAGAAGAAGGACCGGCCAACUACGUGCCAGCAGCCGCCGUAA
rnacentral:rRNA from 1 species